UGCUGUACUUUCUUCCCAUUUCUCGGCCGCCAUGGCUUCUGAGAAAGAAGCUACUCUUGCCGCUACUCCUCCUUCCGAUUCCUCAACCAUGCUGAAGAGAGGCAAUAUGAGAUAUUAGGCCGCCUUCUUUACACUGCCAAGCUUGUUGCCAAACAGGAAGGUCUUGAUGAUGGCUUCAGGAUUGUGAUCAAUGAUGGUCCUAGAGGAUGUCAAUCUGUCUACCACAUUCAUGUCCAUCUUCUUGGGGAGCGACAAAUGAACUGGCCACCUGGCUAAAAUGAACUGAUGUUUGAUUUUGAGUCAGAAGACGCUCUCUGGUAUUAUCAUGUUACUGUCUGUCUGUGGUAUAUAGGUUUGAAAAUAAACUGCUGUUUACAAUGUUAUUGUGAUGACAUAAACUGUAUGGAAGACGAAGUAAUGUACCAACCUUGAAUUGGGUUUAGAGUAUGACUACUACUAGUAUCUGGACUUUUUACUU